rnacentral:rRNA from 1 species
UACGUAGGGUGCGAGCGUUAAUCGGAAUUACUGGGCGUAAAGCGUGCGCAGGCGGUUUUGUAAGCCAGAUGUGAAAUCCCCGGGCUUAACCUGGGAAUGGCAUUUGGGACUGCAAGGCUCGAGUGCGGCAGAGGAGACUGGAAUUCCUGGUGUAGCAGUGAAAUGCGUAGAUAUCAGGAGGAACACCGAUGGCGAAGGCAGCUCUCUGGGACGGUACUGACGCUGAGACGCGAAAGCGUGGGGAGCGAACAGG